GGGGGGGCAGGGCUACCAUGCAAGUCGAGCGGUAGCACAGAGAGCUUGCUCUCGGGUGACGAGCGGCGGACGGGUGAGUAAUGUCUGGGAAACUGCCUGAUGGAGGGGGAUAACUACUGGAAACGGUAGCUAAUACCGCAUAAUGUCGCAAGACCAAAGUGGGGGACCUUCGGGCCUCAUGCCAUCAGAUGUGCCCAGAUGGGAUUAGCUAGUAGGUGGGGUAACGGCUCACCUAGGCGACGAUCCCUAGCUGGUCUGAGAGGAUGACCAGCCACACUGGAACUGAGACACGGUCCAGACUCCUACGGGAGGCAGCAGUGGGGAAUAUUGCACAAUGGGCGCAAGCCUGAUGCAGCCAUGCCGCGUGUGUGAAGAAGGCCUUCGGGUUGUAAAGCACUUUCAGCGGGGAGGAAGGCGAUGAGGUUAAUAACCUUGUCGAUUGACGUUACCCGCAGAAGAAGCACCGGCUAACUCCGUGCCAGCAGCCGCGGUAAUACGGAGGGUGCAAGCGUUAAUCGGAAUUACUGGGCGUAAAGCGCACGCAGGCGGUCUGUCAAGUCGGAUGUGAAAUCCCCGGGCUCAACCUGGGAACUGCAUUCGAAACUGGCAGGCUAGAGUCUUGUAGAGGGGGGUAGAAUUCCAGGUGUAGCGGUGAAAUGCGUAGAGAUCUGGAGGAAUACCGGUGGCGAAGGCGGCCCCCUGGACAAAGACUGACGCUCAGGUGCGAAAGCGUGGGGAGCAAACAGGAUUAGAUACCCUGGUAGUCCACGCCGUAAACGAUGUCGAUUUGGAGGUUGUGCCCUUGAGGCGUGGCUUCCGGAGCUAACGCGUUAAAUCGACCGCCUGGGGAGUACGGCCGCAAGGUUAAACUCAAAUGAAUUGACGGGGGCCCGCACAAGCGGUGGAGCAUGUGGUUUAAUUCGAUGCACGCGAAGAACCUUACCUGGUCUUGACUCCCCGGACUUUCCAAAGAUGAUUG
rnacentral:rRNA from 1 species